ACCUGUCCCACAGCCCCCAGCCCUGCCCUGAGCUCUGCCCUGCCCCACCUGGCCGGGCUCAACCCCAGGACCUUCAGGCUCCUGCAGGCUGAGCGGCGGCUGCUCCAAAAUGCUGUCAGGAACGUCCUGGACGGGGAGUUACUGGGCAGGUUCCUGUACCUGAGCGCCAUGGAGAGGGGGGAGCUGGCCAAGAAAAUCGGGACCACCCCGGAUAUGAUCCUGGACGACCUCCUGGAGAUCGACCGAGUCACGGCCCACUUCUGAGGGGCUUCGGGACCCCCAAUUCCCCCCCACUCCCACCCCAAAAUCCCCCCAAAGUGCACAUUUGUAAUAAAACCCAAACCCCCACGGCCGUUCCCGGGGUGUCCGUGGGUCACGGGGGGUUCAUUGGCACUCUGAGGGCGGCACUUGUGGGGUUUUGGAAGGGGUUUGGGGGGGCUUUGCUCCAUUUUUGGGGUGUUCAGGGGUGUUCCUGGCACACCCCUGGAGCAGCAGCCUGGUGGAUUUGGGGCAAUUCUGGGGGUUUUCGGGUGUUUCUGGGGCCUCCUCAGGCCCGGGGGAGUCUCUGCAACUGCUCCAUUCGGUGUUUAUUUUUGGGUGUAUUUUUGGGGUGAAUUUUUGGGGUAAUUUGGGGCGGUUUUGGGUUCCUGCAGUGCCCCCCUCAGGCUCAGAAGACUCUCUGCAGCUGCUCCACUCGGGGGUUAUUUUGGGGUGUAUUUUUGGCGUAAUUUGGGGCGCUUUCAGGUUCCUGCAGCGCCCCCCUCAGGCCCGGAGGACUCUCUGCAGCUGCUCCACUCAGUAUUUAUUUUUGGGGUUUAUUUUUGGCUGAAUUUUUGGGGUAAUUUGGGGCGAUUUGGGGUUCCUGCAGUGCCCCCCUCAGGCCCGGAGGACUCUCUGCAGCUGCUCAACUCAGGAUUUAUUUUUGGGGUCAAUUUUUGGGGUAAUUUGGGGUGGUUUCGGGUUCCUGCAGCGCCCCCCUCAGGCCCGGAGGACUCUCUGCAGCUGCUCCCCGUGUGGCAGCGCCCCCCAGCGGCUCAGCAGCCACAGCGCCGCCGCCGCCAAACGGGCCCGGAGGGACUCGAACCUGGGGGGGACA